AGUGAACGCUGGCGGCGUGCCUAAUACAUGCAAGUCGAACGGUAACAGGAAGUAGCUUGCUACUUUGCUGAUUAGUGGCGCACGGGUGAGUAAUGCAUAGGUCAUGUGCCCCAUAGUCUGGGAUAGCCACUGGAAACGGUGAUUAAUACUGGAUACUCCCGAGAGGGGAAAGUUUUUCGCUAUGGGAUCAGCCUAUGUCCUAUCAGCUUGUUGGUGAGGUAAUGGUUCACCAAGGCUAUGACGGGUAUCCGGCCUGAGAGGGUGAACGGACACACUGGAACUGAGACACGGUCCAGACUCCUACGGGAGGCAGCAGUAGGGAAUAUUGCUCAAUGGGGGAAACCCUGAAGCAGCAACGCCGCGUGGAGGAUGAAGGUCUUCGGAUUGUAAACUCCUUUUCUAAGAGAAGAUUAUGACGGUAUCUUAGGAAUAAGCACCGGCUAACUCCGUG
rnacentral:rRNA from 1 species